rnacentral:rRNA from 1 species
AUACCGGCAGCUCAAGUGGUAGCCGCUUUUAUUGGGCCUAAAGCGUCCGUAGCCGGUCUGAUAAGUCUCUGGUGAAAUCCCGCAGCUUAACUGUGGGAAUUGCUGGAGAUACUAUCAUGACUCGAGGUCGGGAGAGGCUGGAGGUACUCCCAGGGUAGGGGUGAAAUCCUGUAAUCCUGGGAGGACCACCUGUGGCGAAGGCGUCCAGCUGGAACGAACCGGACGGUGAGGGACGAAAGCCAGGGGCGCGAACCGGAUUAGAUGCCCGGGUAGUCCUGGCCGUAAACGAUGUGGACUUGGUGUUGGGAUGGCUUCGAGCUGCCCCAGUGCCGAAGGGAAGCUGUUAAGUCCACCGCCUGGGAAGUACGGCCGCAAGGCUGAAACUCAAAUGAAUUGGCGGGG